rnacentral:RNase_P_RNA from 1 species
GAAGCAGGCCAGACAGUCGCUGCCCGUGCAAACGGGGGGAGGAAAGUCCGGGCUCCACAGGACAGGAUGCCGGCUAACAGCCGGGCGCCGCGAGGCGACGGAAAGUGCAACAGAGAGCUGAACCGCCGAUGGCCGCGGACUUCGCGGGGCGCAAGCCCUGCAAAGUCCCAUCAAGAAAGGGAGGAAACUCCCCGGAUUGAUGGAACGCGGAUCAGGUAAGGGUGAAAAGGCGAGGUAAGAGCUCACCGCGGACGUGGCAACACGGACGGCAGGGUAAACCCCAUCCGGAGCAAGACCAAGCAGCAGGCAGUGAGGCGGUCCGCUGAGCCUGCGGGUGUGUUGCUUGAGCCCAGUGGUAACGCUGGGCCUAGAGGAAUGACUGUCGCGACGGGCAACCGUCGAACAAAACCCGGCUUAUCGGCCUGCUUCGCCC